AAGUAGUUUAAGUUGUGUGCAAGUGGUAGGAGAGCGUUCUAUUUGCGUCGAAGGUA
rnacentral:rRNA from 1 species